rnacentral:rRNA from 1 species
UACGUAGGGGGCAAGCGUUGUCCGGAAUCAUUGGGCGUAAAGCGCGUGUAGGCGGCUAGAUAAGUCUGCUCUGAAAGCCCGGGGCUCAACCCCGGGAGGCGGGUGGAUACUGUCUAGCUCGAGUCCGGAAGAGGAGUGUGGAAUUCCCGGUGUAGCGGUGAAAUGCGCAGAUAUCAGGAGGAACACCAAUGGCGAAGGCAGCACUCUGGGACGUGACUGACGCUGAGACGCGAAAGCGUGGGGAGCAAACAGG